UACGGGGGGGGCAAGCGUUGUUCGGAAUUACUGGGCGUAAAGGGCUCGUAGGUGGCCAACUAAGUCAGACGUGAAAUCCCUCGGCUUAACCGGGGAACUGCGUCUGAUACUGGAUGGCUAGAGAUUGGGAGAGGGAUGCGGAAUUCCAGGUGUAGCGGUGAAAUGCGUAGAUAUCUGGAGGAACACCGGUGGCGAAGGCGGCAUCCUGGACCAACAUUGACGCUGAGGAGCGAAAGCCAGGGGAGCAAACGGG
rnacentral:rRNA from 1 species